rnacentral:rRNA from 1 species
GAUGAACGCUAGCGGCAGGCUUAACACAUGCAAGUCGCGGGGCAGCGUAAAUAGUAGCAAUACUAUUGGUGGCGACCGGCGGACGGGUGCGUAACGCGUCUACAACCUUCCCUAAACAGGGGGAUAAUCUGGAGGAAGUCGGUCUAAUACCCCAUAACAUCAGAGCAGGCAUCUGUUUUGGUUAAAAUUUCCGGAGGUUUAGGAUGGGUAUGCGUAGCAUUAGGUAGUUGGUGAGGUAACGGCUCACCAAGGCGACGAUGCUUAGGGGGACUGAGAGGUUAACCCCCCACACUGGUACUGAGACACGGACCAGACUCCUACGGGAGGCAGCAGUGAGGAAUAUUGGUCAAUGGGCGGAAGCCUGAACCAGCCAUGCCGCGUGCAGGAUGACGGCUCUAUGAGUUGUAAACUGCUUUUGUACGAGGGUAAAGUGGGCUACGUGUAGCCUUUUGAAAGUAUCGUACGAAUAAGGAUCGGCUAACUCCGUGCCAGCCGCCGCAGUAA